rnacentral:rRNA from 1 species
GAAGCGACCACGCGAGUGUGAGCGAAUCUCAAAAAUAACGUCUCAGUUCGGAUUGUAGUCUGCAACUCGACUACAUGAAGCUGGAAUCGCUAGUAAUCGCGGAUCAGAAUGCCGCGGUGAAUACGGUUCCCGGGUCUUGUACACACCGCCCGUCACACCAUGGGAGUCAGUAACGCCCGAAGCCGGUGACCCAACCUAACAAGGGAGGGAGCCGUCGAAGGCGGGACGGAUGACUGGGGUGAAGUCGUAACAAGGUAAC